rnacentral:rRNA from 1 species
ACCCGCUGAACUUAAGCCAAUAAGCGGAGGAAAAGAAACCAACAGGGAUUGCCCUAGUAACGGCGAGUGAAGCGGCAACAGCUCAAAUUUGAAAUCUGGCGUCUUUGGCGUCCGAGUUGUAAUUUGCAGAGGGCGCUUUGGCAUUGGCAGCGGUCCAAGUUCCUUGGAACAGGACGUCACAGAGGGUGAGAAUCCCGUACGUGGUCGCUAGCCUUUACCGUGUAAAGCCCCUUCGACGAGUCGAGUUGUUUGGGAAUGCAGCUCUAAAUGGGAGGUAAAUUUCUUCUAAAGCUAAAUACUGGCCAGAGACCGAUAGCGCACAAGUAGAGUGAUCGAAAGAUGAAAAGCACUUUGGAAAGAGAGUUAAAAAGCACGUGAAAUUGUUGAAAGGGAAGCGCUUGCAGCCAGACUUGCCUGUAGUUGCUCAUCCGGGUUUUUACCCGGUGCACUCUUCUAUAGGCAGGCCAGCAUCAGUUUGGGCGGUAGGAUAAAGGUCUCUGUCACGUACCUCUCUUCGGGGAGGCCUUAUAGGGGAGACGACAUACUACCAGCCUGGACUGAGGUCCGCGCAUCUGCUAGGAUGCAGGCGUAAUGGCUGU